rfam:Cavia porcellus supercont2_10 genomic scaffold, whole genome shotgun sequence.
GGGGAUUUAGCUCAGCGGCAUAAGCGCUUGCCUUGCAAGCAGGGAGUUGUGAGUUCGAUCCCCAGUACCUA